ACGUAGGAGGCAAGCGUUAUCCGGAUUUACUGGGCGUAAAGCGCGUGCAGGCGGCUCGAAAAGUUGGAUGUGAAAGCUCCUGGCUUAACUGGGAGAGGUCGUUCAAUACUUUCGGGCUAGAGGAUGGGAGAGGGAGGUGGAAUUCCGGGUGUAGGGGUGAAAUGCGUAGAUAUCCGGAGGAACACCAGUGGCGAAGGCGGCUCGCUGGGCCAUUCCUGACGCUCAGAUGCGAAAGCUAGGGGAGAGAACGG
rnacentral:rRNA from 1 species